rnacentral:rRNA from 1 species
GAUGAACGCUGGCGGCGUGCCUAAUACAUGCAAGUCGAGCGAACAGACGAGGAGCUUGCUCCUCUGACGUUAGCGGCGGACGGGUGAGUAACACGUGGAUAACCUACCUAUAAGACUGGGAUAACUUCGGGAAACCGGAGCUAAUACCGGAUAAUAUAUUGAACCGCAUGGUUCAAUAGUGAAAGACGGUUUUGCUGUCACUUAUAGAUGGAUCCGCGCCGCAUUAGCUAGUUGGUAAGGUAACGGCUUACCAAGGCAACGAUGCGUAGCCGACCUGAGAGGGUGAUCGGCCACACUGGAACUGAGAAACGGUCCAGACUCCUACGGGAGGCAGCAGUAGGGAAUCUUCCGCAAUGGGCGAAAGCUUGACGGAGCAACGCCGCGUGAGUGAUGAAGGUCUUCGGAUCGUAAAACUCUGUUAUUAGGGAAGAACAAAUGUGUAAGUAACUAUGCACGUCUUGACGGUACCUAAUCAGAAAGCCGCGGCUAACUACGU